rnacentral:lncRNA from 1 species
GUGGGUGCAGCUGAGUGAAGACCCGGGAGGGGGGCCGGGGGGCUCGCCCGGCUCUGUCGUCUGCCUCCAACAACGCCCGUUCUGCACGGAGCCCCACGGCUCGACUCGCUCGCCGACGCCGCUGGCGUGAGCGUCCGGCCCCCUCGAAGGUCAUUUGACCAAAUUUGACACCAGCCUAGAAAACCUUUCUAGCCACAAAAUUGCACUUCGGGGAAACCAGCUCAAAGGAAUAAUCUGAAAGUCACACAGCAGACAGCGAGGAACCCCUCCAAGCUGCACUUCCGCUCCAACUUACGCGCUGCCCGGCUCCAAGAUGGCCGCGUGACGCACGACGUAACGCGGAGGCCCCGCCCCUCGCGACGGCUGCUCCUCUUCACGCCCCGCCCCUUCCGGCUUUGACACGGAAGUGGCCUCCCAAGGCGGAAGUGAGCUGGCGAAGCGCGGCGGGCAAUUGAAACGUUGGAGGAUGGCGGGGUUGAGGCUGCAGGCCGUCGGGGGCUCGCCCAGGUACAAAGAGCUCAUCCGCUCCAUGAAGGCAGUGAGGUGUGAAGACACCGUCGGGAGAGAAAGGAGCCAGUUUCUCUAACACCUGUUGCCAUCCUCAAGCUGUCACAACAAAUCCCAACAACAGGGUGCCGGGCACGUGCCCUGCCCCCUCCAGGCAUGAGCGCUCCGGGACAAGGUCCCCUCCUACCUGCGCGAGUGCGGGACCUCGCCAGUGCCGCCGACACGCUGGUGGUGCCCCUGAGCAGCCUGGCCCGCUGUACCCGCGCCUGCCACUCCCAGCAGCUCCUGAAGAUGUUCUGGACAGGUGGUGUCCCCGUGGGGAACGACCACCUUGGUGCUGACCGGUGGGCGGUCGGCGUAGGUGAGGCGCUGCUGGGGCCUGCUCUGGUUCCAGGACCCAUGUCUGCACAGAGGGGAGCUCAGGCCCCCUGUCCCGCAGGUGCCCGCAUGAAGCACCACGUCCUCGCCAGGCAGGCCCUGCGGAUGCUCCAUGAGGACCCGUCCCCAUGCACAGACAAGUGCUGGUGCCUGGCCCAUCCUCCACAUGCCACUCCCGCGUUGCUGGGCAGAUUGCGGCUCAGAAGGCCAGUGGGGGGCCCUGAAGGCCAUGGCCGCCGCUGAGCACCCGUGUCACAAGCACAUGUGAGGGCUCCCUGUGCACCACCUGGGGCGGUAGCCCUGUCCUGGAGCAGAGCAGCCUCCUGACCUCACAGGCCCCGCAGGUGCCCCCACCCUCCCUCCAGACGCUAAAGCUCUCCACUUGCCCAGGCAGGCCGUCUGGACACCAUGCUGCUCUCAGGGGCACCAGGGCCUGCAUGGGCUCUCCUCGUCUUCUCCAGAGCCUGUCCCAGCGCCCACCCUGCUCUCCACUGCAUUUGGCGGGACUUGCCUGGUAGCCGCCCCACCCUCUGGAGCCUGGUGGAGCACCCUGCCCCCGCCACCCCUCCCAGACCCCCACCCAUACAGCAUCAGGUGCACUGGCCACCUGCCCCAUCCUGUGACCGCCCGCUCCCCACACGUGGCCCCAUGGCCCCUGCUCGUCUCUGACACGUGCACUUCGUUGCAGAUGCUGCUGCAUGUGGCUAACGGCAUCCCGCAGGAGCUGAGGGCGCACAUGCUACCCUCCCUGCCCUCCAGCUUCUUCCACGGCGAGGAAAACUGGGUGCUGAAGCUGUUUCUAGAAGGCCUCUUGCACAAAACCGCCAUCCUCCUGGAUGUGGUGGGCAUGAUUAUGCAGGACCCAAGCAACCGACCAGGAGCCCGCCCUGCGUGAGUCCUGAUGCUCUCGGCCGCCAGCCGCGCAGUCACAGCGUGAGGCCACUCCUUGGCCCAGCUCCUGGUUCAGGCGACAGUCCUGGCCCCAGCAGGCAGGUCUGCGCCGGUCUCCUCUGAUAAAGCAGCAGAGAGCAAGCUGCUCCCAGAACCAGCAGACAGCUGGCCAUGCCUGCCCUGGCCGGCAUUGCUCCACCUCAUCAGAGGACGGUGUGUGCAGUCAGCUGCAAAGCCCAGAAUGCAAGGGGCCCUCCCUGCUCACAGACCCCCACCAGCGCCGCCUGGCUCUCAGAGGGGAUUCUCAGCAGUCACUGCCCAGAGCUGGGUGCCACUCCAUGUCAGGAGGAGGCUGGGAGCCCGGGUAGGGCCCUGCCUUUGCAUCUAUGGGCCGGAUGCCGGGGCCACGGCAUGCUGGGCAAGGAGACUCGGUCCCCGCCACAAGCAUCCGUCCCCCUCGCCACCCUUAAGGUGCAUAUGCCUUUAAAGAUGCAAACCAGUAGACUCAGUGGCGACACACCGGGCCCUCUGAGUGGCACAGGCCUUAUCAGGAGGGGACCCCGCAUAGCCUGUGGACACAGUGAGACCAGAGCCAGCCACGUGCUGGAAUGUUUCAUGCUUGUGCAGGUGGUAGGCCCUGGGCCCUGACUACAUGAGUGAGCUGCUGUGCCUGUCCCUGAGCUUCGAGGGUCCAGAAACGCAGCCCUUCAGCCUCUUCCUGUCCCACGUGGUGGCAGAAACCUGAGUGGUGUCCCUGGGCAAAGUCGCUCAACCUUCAUUGUCUCUAAAACCUUCAGGAGGCCGCACCUCGGCCACAAACCACCUGUAGCUGAGCAGAUUCGUGUCUGUCGUUUCCCUGGGAAGACACUGGAAUGCCCAGGUCGGCCGGCCAGGGGAGCGGCAUCCGGACUCCCCAAGACAGCCGGCCCUCGGGAGGUGCUGGGGCUGCCUCCUGGGGAAGAGACAGGCAGGGCUGGCGGUGCCCCGCCUGCCAGCGUGUGUUCAUGGGUUCAUGUGACCUCAGGUGCGGCUGGAGCCCCGACAGCUGUCAGGAUGCACCACGUUAACCAAGGCCGGUUCCCCAAGACCAGGGCCGUCCGCCCACGACACCCCUGGAGUCAUUCUUUGUGUUUUUGCACACAUGAGUCUAAGAGCCUAAAUUAUUUUUGGAAAUCAUUUUCAAACUUUCAAAGAUUAUGUAAAAGCUAUCUGGUUUUUUGAGCAAUGUUUAACUGAGUGAAGUAAAAAGUUUCUUUGGUAUUUUUUCAGUGCCCAUGUUCACCUCUGCUGGUUUUGAUUCCAGGGAUGGGGAACAAGUCGGCACCUGCGAGGCAGCGGUCAGCUGGAGGACAAGCUGUCUGCCUCCCUCACGAGCAUCCUCCUCCCACCGUGGAUCCAGACCUGCCAGGUCCCCCUGGGGCGGGCUCCAGUGCAGGGGGCCUGGAUUGGCACGUGUUGGGGUCCACAAGUCCACCCUCCCAGGAAGGUGAGAAACAGGACCUGCCGGGUCCCCUGACACUCACCAAGGACUGGGGAUGCCUGACACGAGCAGGCAUACGUCAGCUCAGCCACCGUGUGGGGUCAUGGCCUCCGUCACACAAGCCUGCCUAGGUCAGCACAAGGACCGGUUCUGAAUCCCAAGGGCAGCGGGCGUGACUGGCACCCAGACUGGAAACAGCACAGCAUGCCAGGAGGGCAGGCCUGGCUCCAGCUGUCCUGGCGGCACCAUGGCACCCAGGUGUAUUCAAGCACAAGACGCAGCCCCACAUGUGGACUGAUUGCCGCUGUGACCACAAUGGACUUCCUGAUCCCACAGUGAGAGCUGGAACAGCUCCCGAAAUCCGGGUCCAAGCAGACCAUGGAGGGCCAUGCCGGCCGGGCCACACCAGAGCUUCUCCCAGGGGCUUUCGGGUCACUGUUGGGCUGGAACCUGGUCCUGGGCACCCAGCUCUGCCCGUGCCCUCAAGGGGAAGGCAUGACUGGUAAGGGGGCCUGGCUGGUCUGGGUCUCAGUCCAAACCUUGAGCAAGUCCUGGGGGCCGAUGCAACACCCUGUCCUGAGCACCCAGCCCAUGUGAGCAGAGCCCCAGGCAGCCUGGGUGACAGGCACGCACCUAGGGUAGGCAGGAACAGGCGCAGCAAGGCCAGCUCUGCUGACCAUCUGCCCUGAGGUGGACGCCAGUGCCCUUGGCUCUAAGCCCCCCACCCCCAUAAAUCUGUAAUAAAAAUAAUCCUGAGUCUCCCUAAUGUGCCCC